UCACAGUUGCACGUGCUGCUGCUGUCUUAUCAUCGACUGUAAAAGACCACCAUACAAAGUCCAGCGUGCGCGGCCACUCUGGGUGGUUCCCACAGGGUUCCAGAGAAUGCGCCCAAAGAGGGAGGAAGUCCCAAGACCGCAAUGCGGCCGGCAGACACUCGGGCUUCCUCUUCUGCAACACGUUGAUAACGACGAUGAUGAUGAGAAAGGCUACGAGAGGGCAGGCCACGCCCACCAGGACCUGCCAUCCAGCCAGUGACAGACUGAAGACGAGGAGCGGCAGCAGGAAGAAGCAGAAGAUGAUGUAGACUGCGGCGAACCAGCGGGCGUUACCCAAAGUGUCUCCUGGACUGGCCAUGGCGGCCAAGAUGGCUGUGGUCGUGGUGCCGAUGUUGGAACCGAGAGACAACGGAUAGGCUCUCUGUAUGCUGAUGACGCCAAUACCUACAGGUAUGUGCGUAAAGAAGGCCCAUGAGAUAUUUCUCUGGUCAAAUCAAUCACUUCAGAUGAAUAUGCUCCAACUGUAUUUUCGUCUCUAUUGUUGGGGGGGGGGGGGGUUUCAAAUUGAUAAGACCAAAAUAUGAAUACAGAGAAUAUGUUUGUCAGUGCAAAAGUUAGUCUGCAUGGAUCAUCAAUAUAUUGUAUGCAUGGUGGGUAGAUGGACAAUUAGGCAGAUAGUUGGAUCCGUGAAGGGAGAGAUGAGCAGGUGAUUGAUGUAUGGAUGGUAUGAUUAUAUAUUGAUUUUGAGGAUGGAUGGCUAAGUGGUACGACAACAUCAAUUGUGCGAAGGUUGAACGGAUGCAUGGAAGGAUGAAGCAGUGGACAGAAAGAAGGAUAGCGGCUUGUACAAUAUUGGCCCGAAUAUAAGACGGUGUUUUUUGCAUUGAAAUAAGACUGAAAAAGUGGGGGUCGUCUUAUAUUCGGGGUGUUGACAUUAUACCCAUUCACGACGUUAGAUGGCGCCAGAUACCAUUGAAGCAAAUGCUGAACUUGAUUCCCCAGGCCAAAGUGAACCCCUGCCACAAAGAAUAAAAAUAAAAAUAGCGGUAGCGCGAAGAAGAAUUUUUUUUUAAAUGGUAAGAAAGAAAAGAGAAGAAAAUAAUGGAAGAGAUAACAGAAAAUGGAGAAACGUAGCAACAAUCUGGAGAAAAGUGGGUCGAAGAUCGGCCAGGUUAACCGGCAGCUGAGAAGAAGUUAUGAUGCACUGUAAUUUACAUUUCAAAAACCAGAAGCCAUUCAUUUACGAAUGUAAUUGUACUUUAGUUUACAUAUUUAAAUGUUCAGAUAUUAAGAUUUGAAUGAGGCAAAAUAAGAUGCUUUUUCUCUCAAAUAUAUUGUUAUGAUCAUUUGUUUCAGAUGUACUGUAAUUAUUUUCUGUAUAAAAAUUAAUUUGGUUUUUCAAAGUCUUUUUUCAAACUUGAGUCUUGAAAAAGAGGGCGUCGUCUUAUAAUCAGGGCCGUCUUAUAUUCGGGCCAAUACGGUAUAAUUGGAUGGGUGACUGAAAAAAACUGGUUCAAUUGGUGGUUGGUUGAAUGGAUGAGCUGGCAGAUGCAAGAUGUCCCGCAGGACCUUUGGGUGGCUUUGGUUGGAUGGAUUGCUGAAAACGUGCAUGCAUCAUGGCUUCAUCAAUCAGAGUUAUGUUGGUAUUUAUUUGCAUGACUGGAUGGAAAGAUGUAGAUCCUAAAGAUGGAUGUGUGGUCAGACAAAAGGGUUGGUUGGAUGAAUGAUGGCUCGGUAGUGGACGGAUGAAGCUGAUGGAGUGGUUUGUUGAAGGAUGGGGUGGAUGAGUGGAUGGACGGAUAGCUGAGUGACCUCACCAACAAGUGGAGUGAUAGCAGAGGUAAAAACAGAGCUGCUUUGCACGAUGAACGUCAUUCCCGCUCCGACUAAAAUGGCAAUAUAUCCCGUGACCCAACCAAAGGGGAAUGGGAAAUCUGCACACAUGCACGUAUUACAGUAUUAGCAACGGACACUUUCACCAGUCCCAUAAAAUGGCUUGCAGUAUAUAAGCGAACCUUGCGUCUCCACUCACCAGUGUUCAGUAUUUUCUUGAUGAUCAUGGCCACUUGACCCUUGAGCAUGGAGUUGAGCAACUUGACUAUAAGCAACAGGCAGGAGCACAACACCAGCAGAGAGAGAGCCAGAAGGAUCAAACCCACAGCCAGGUCGGACAAGUUCACGUCGACGAAAAGGUGAUCACCUGACAACACACACAGAGAACAUGUCAAGGUCAAGUGCAUGCAGAGAUGAAUGACUUUGUGUCACCUCAUGCUCACAUUUCUUGAUGUUGUACGUCUGUGAAAUGUUCUUGAGUGUGAAGGUGUAGUUGCCGUCAGUCCAACACAUUGAUGAAGAGGUGCAGUUCUCUGGACCAGGAACGGUGACAUUUACUGUGCUCUGAAAGUCAUAGUUUAAAAAAUAUAUACAUGUAAACCAUAUUCAACAUAUUUAAAGUGGCACAAAAGUCACAAUACAUUUCCUUUUUUAUUUUUUUGUUCGUUACGGCUAUCGUUUGGACAGACGUGAGGCCAUUAGCAUCUGACAGCUUUGCAGUUUUGAGAAGCAGAAACACCUCGUUCCAGCUGGUAAUUUUGCGGCACUGCUUCGCUGACAUUUUCCAAGCCAGGGGCAAGGUAAGGAUAUCGAAAUGAUAUCUUCGCAAAAACUGCAAAGCCUAAUCUGUAGAAUGUCGGUAGCCUCACGUCUGAUACCUGAACAAAAAAGGGAGUGUGUAGAGAGACUUUAAGGAUACCGUUUCUUGUUGUUGUGCCAGUGAUGUUUGAUCCUACCGUGUUGGUGUAAGUUUUGCACCAUUUCUUGAUGAGGCUUUUAUUCCGGGCUGUUGGAUCUCCGGUGGCUAUUUCGCUUAAGACAGACUUGUCCAGCUGUCUCGGAGAGAAACACAACAUGCAGAAACGUGCAAUCGUAAUUCUAAUUGACAUUUUUUCCAUCAACAAUGAUGAACGGCCACCGUGUCAAAUAUACUCCUUUUUUUUGUUUGUUUGUUUAUGAGAACAGUCUGAUGCAUCCCACGUAUGCUUCACGCCUUUACCUUUAUAAUGGAAUCCGUGAGGACAUCAGUAAUGACAUUCAACAGGUCGGGGGCCUCUCCGCUCUGGAUUUGGAACGAGUCGAUGAUGAGCUUGGUGACCUCGUACAAGUAGCCGGUGGCGACCUCUAGAGGCAGCAGCACCAGAACCGACAGCCAGUUGAAGAAGUCGUGCACCGUUGCCCCCGCAAACGCCCUGACAAGAGUCGUCAAGACAAAUGAAAUUCACGCCACGCCGAAUGAAUUUCGCUCACUUCUAUCGGUAGCAGCAUACAUGUUGUGUUAUUAGCGUAUCGCUCGAGAUUAUGACUACCGUGUCUGUUUUAUGACACACCAGAUGAGUUAUUACACUACGACAGUAAAAAGAGAGACAUGAUCACGAGCCUUCAGCUGAUACUAUUUAUUUUUAACCCAACCCAAUAGUCAUUGGUAUCUUUGGCGAAAGGAAGGGAAAUGACGCUAUCCAUAAAUUCAGGGGUAAAUGGGAAUGAAUGGACUUGUAUUUAACUUUUUUUUUUAAUUAAUGUAAUUAUUAUUAGGCAACGGCAAGGAUUAAUUUAUUGGGGGUCAUCAAUGUUCUGUGCCCUUACGUUUCAAAAGUGCAAACUAGUUUGUACAGCAGCGUAAGAUUACGUCCAUAGCGUGGCACAAAAGCCAUGCUCAGCUACUGUUGUCGUAAGAUUGCUGUUUUUUUUUUGUUUGCUUUAGAUUUUUUCCUUACAGGUGUUUUACAUAAAUAUUUACAGCAAGCACCUGCUUAUUGACAGUUCACUUUUCAAGCGAUUUACUGAAAAACUAGCCCAGUCAAAAUAGGAAAGUGGUACAGAAAUUUAGUCCAAGGAUCUUGUAUGUUGAUGUGAUACAUCUUGCCUGAGUUUUGUAUGUCAGGGAAGAUUUAAGUUUAGUGAGAACUACAGCGAGUAUUUGCCAAAUGUGCACAUAAAAACACACUUAGCGUGCAUUUUUCAAAAUCACGUCAUCUGUAAGACAUUUAUUAUCAAGGGUAAUAUAAGGUCAAAUGUUUGGAGAUUGUAGUUUUUGGUAUAUUUACUAUUGAAACUAUUAAUAUUGACAAUUAUAAAACAUUGAAGGUGUUGGGCGUGGUCCUAAUAAAUGUACUGUAAUUACAGUGUGACUUCAUUACGAAGUUAGUGUACGUCACGCUCAAAUUUGGGAGAUGUUGCCGCCAUAGGAAGGGAACUUUAUUUUAAACCACGGUCUAUCUGUAAAGUUGUAUAAAAAAAUUAACAAAAUGAUUUUAGACUUUUAUAAUAGCCCAUGUAAGGUUUUAUUUGGUUUUUAGAAUUGCUCAUGGACCGAAUCAGAUGUUCUGACCGGCGGCAAAUUCCCCACUCUUGUAUGAGACGUUACCUGCGAAAGACACUGCGGUCCCCUGCCUGCGUCAUGGCAACCAAUGUGUUGGUGACCGAGGUGCCGAUGUUAGUGCCCAUGAUGAUCGGAACAGCUAGCUGGACUGUUAGCACUGCCCAAAAAAAAAAAAAAAAAACGACCCACGUCUCUUCACUAUCACCACAUCAUACCUAGAUGUGUCACAUUGCAUGCAUGUUGGUGCUCACAUCCAGAGGAGACCAUGCUGACAACAAUGGAGGAUGAAGUUGAUGAGCUCUGAACCAGUAACGUGACCAGGACGCCAAUGACCAGACCAGCCAGAGGGUUGGACAAGACAACAUUGUCCUGGAAAAUGUCGCCUGCUGCUUUUCCUAUGUGGAUAAAGUGGAUGACAUUCUUUUUUUUUUUUUUUUUAAUCUUGUCCAAUUGCCCCAAUAGAGACAUGUCGGACCUUUAUACGCAUACCUCCUACAAGCUGGAAGGCUGAGCUCAGGAUGUCUAGGGAGCAGAUGAACAUGUAGAGGAGGCCGAGCAGCACAGCCAGUUUCACCACUGACACCAACACCCGCAGCACCUUCCCUUUUGUGUCCAAAGCUGA